UACGAACUGUGCGAACGUUAUUCGGAAUCACUGGGCUUACAGGGUGCGUAGGCGGCUUGUUAAGUAGGGUGUGAAAGCCCCCGGCUCAACCGGGGAAUGGCGCCCUAAACUGGCGAGCUGGAGUGAGAUAGGGGUGUGUGGAACUUCCGGUGGAGCGGUGAAAUGUGUUGAUAUCGGAAGGAACGCCGGUGGCGAAAGCGACACACUGGAUCUUGUCUGACGCUGAGGCACGAAAGCCAGGGGAGCGAACGGG
rnacentral:rRNA from 1 species